CAUAACCACUUUUUAGCCUAUAUUUAUACUAACAGAACAGGAAUACAUAUUCUCUACCAAAUUCCGUAAAUGAAACACGUUUAUUGUUAUUUUGUUCCUAUUUUGUUGUCUAUAAUUUAAUCAGUCUACCACAUGUCUGUAACAUAGAGUGAAAUUAAUUUGAUUGAAAACUUUCAAACUUGGUCGGACAUUUUUUCGAUUCUAUUUUGCUUUCAGGCCUUCGUUGGGUUAAUUAUGUACUAUUUUAAAUAGCUUAAAAAACGACCAAUCAAAAGAGUUCAUUG